UCCGCAAUGGGCGAAAGCCUGACGGAGCAAUCUCGCGUGAGGGAUGACUGCCUAUGGGUUGUAAACCUCUUUUUUCAGGGAGGAAUCAAUGACGUGUACCUGAAGAAUAAGCAUCGGCUAACUCCGUGCCAGCAGCCGCGGUAAGACGGAGGAUGCAAGUGUUAUCCGGAAUCACUGGGCGUAAAGCGUCUGUAGGUGGUUUAAUAAGUCAGCUGUUAAAUCUUGAAGCUCAACUUCGAAAUCGCAGUCGAAACUAUUAGACUAGAGUAUAGUAGGGGUAGAGGGAAUUUCCAGUGGAGCGGUGAAAUGCGUAGAGAUUGGAAAGAACACCGAUGGCGAAGGCACUUUACUGGGCUAUUACUGACACUCAGAGACGAAAGCUAGGGUAGCAAAUGGGAUUAGAUACCCC
rnacentral:rRNA from 1 species